GAUGAACGCUGGCGGCGUGCCUAAUACAUGCAAGUCGAGCGAACAGACGAGGAGCUUGCUCCUCUGACGUUAGCGGCGGACGGGUGAGUAACACGUGGAUAACCUACCUAUAAGACUGGGAUAACUUCGGGAAACCGGAGCUAAUACCGGAUAAUAUAUUGAACCGCAUUGUUCAAUAGUGAAAGACGGUUUUGCUGUCACUUAUAGAUGGAUCCGCGCCGCAUUAGCUAGUUGGUAAGGUAACGGCUUACCAAGGCAACGAUGCGUAGCCGACCUGAGAGGGUGAUCGGCCACACUGGAACUGAGACACGGUCCAGACUCCUACGGGAGGCAGCAGUAGGGAAUCGUCCGCAAUGGGCGAAAGCUUGACGGAGCAACGCCGCGUGAGUGAUGAAGGUCUUCGGAUCGUAAAACUCUGUUAUUAGGGAAGAACAAAUGUGUAAGUAACUAUGCACGUCUUGACGGUACCUAAUCAGAAAGCCACGGCUAACUACGUG
rnacentral:rRNA from 1 species